UACAGAGGUCUCAAGCGUUGUUCGGAUUAUUGGGCGUAAAGGGUGCGUAGGCGGCGAGGUAAGUCUGGUGUGAAAUCCUGGGGCUCAACCCCAGAAUUGCACUGGAUACUGCUUUGCUAGAGGACUGGAGAGGAGAUUGGAAUUCACGGUGUAGCAGUGAAAUGCGUAGAUAUGCGGAGGAACACCGAUGGCGAAGGCAAUCCCCUGGGCCUGCACUGACGCUCAUGCACGAAAGCGUGGGGAGCAAACAGG
rnacentral:rRNA from 1 species